GGGGCUGACAGGCAUUCGAUUGCGUGUCAACUUACUGAGAAGCGUGCCGGGAAGCGACGCCCGUAACAGUGCAAACACAAUAACUGCAGCUUCUGCUCAGUCCGACUACGCCCUAGCUGCGUAGUCCGGUGGGGUGCAACGGUUUACCCGUUCCGUGUACCAAUCCACCGUCGCCAAUACGGGGAACCUCCAUACCGACUCAACAUGGAGUGAACCAGCAAUGGUCAUAAUGUAGACGUCCACCCGCCGUGAGGUGCGUAGAUCGGCUGUGUCCCAUGCGGUAUCCCCUUCGAGGGUGAGUCUCGCAGAUCGCAUGGAUGACGAGAAGACUGCGAGCUAUGCACGUAGAAGACAGUGAAGAGAAGCGUAAGACUGCGGUUCAAUUCCGCACAGCUCCACGA
rnacentral:tmRNA from 1 species